CCAAAUAUUGCAGCAGUGUCCCAGGUAGGAAAUCAUAAGAAUAACGUAAAGAUUUAGUACGGCAAAGAGGGUAGAAAGGUUUUUGUUAACAGUGGGUUUCUUUUGCUUAUUAUUAUUGAUAUGAUUCAUUUCAUGACUGUAGAGCUUUAAUAUUGCAGAUUCAAAAGACGAGGCGUCUGGAGAGGGACGAUUCCUACAACCAAGAGCCAGCUUGGUUAUGAAAAACCCGAGACCUACAGUGUCAGUGGACGUCAGAUGCUACUGUGGGAGUGAAGGAAUCGCUGAUGUCUAUCGCCAUUGGCAAAGUUUACCCCGAUGGCAGUGUGGAGCUUCAGGGAGGUCUCGAUUGCUCCGUGCUAAAAGCUCUCAGUUCAUCGUCAGAGCUAAUUGACUAUAAUCAUAGUUUUGUGAUUAUAGUCAAUUAGCUCUGACAAGAAUGUCAAUCGUUUAGUUCGCUUUAUUUGCGUGCGUACUUUUUGGAUGUUUUUUAGCAGAAUUGUGCAAAACUAUGUGGCCAUUUUUCAAAACACUUUACAAAAAUGGGGCAUCGAGACUGACAAUAAGUGAAUAGAUUUUGGGAGCUCCAGACCGGAAUGAAAGACGUUCUAGUGGCGGGUUGACUGUUCACCCUUGGCAGAAGAGACAUUUCAGGUGGGGGACUUCUCAACCUUGUGAGCUUAAGAAACCAAAACCCGACGCAAGAUUACUGUAGAUUUGGUGACCAAAUUUAAUAAAUAUUUUCAUCAGGGAGAUUGUUUUUGGUUCGGUUUGUUUGUCGACUGGAUUGCACGAAAGUUCAUGACUAGAUUUUCACGGAAACUUUACCGGAGGUCCAGAUUGAGGCUUUGUAACUCGUAAUAAGAGAUUAGGUUUUGGGGAAAACAGUCUAUGAGAUUUCUUAGUCACGUAUCUUUUUGCUUUUUUGUGAUCCGUUACCGCACAUUUAUUAUACAUUCAUCUGCUCUUCCGCUGGCUGUCCCGUUAAUUCAGCUGUGUUGUGUGUAGCUUUGUAUUUGUUUCGUCUAUGCAUUUUGUUCUUUGUCUUUUUGCUUUUUUGUUUCCCUGAAUGCACCAAAAUAUAAAUAAUACUUCAGCUUAGCAGAAUCUCUAAUUCUAGCAACGGGGGCGACAUCACCGCGAAGUAUCCGUGAUCUUCUCCCAGAACAACGAGUUUAUGCUCUGUGUAGGAAGUGACCAUUCUUUUUCUGCCCCAGGUACAAAACAGUGCUAUCCCCGGAUGAUGCGUGGGGAAACGUUCGUCCGGAUGGAUCGGUGACUGGGAUUAUUGGGAUGAUUGCCAAUCGGGAAGUUAGUUUUGGAAUUUCUAUAUUGGUUAUCACAGAGAGUCGAAGAAAAGUGGCUGAUUUUACUUUUCCAUACUUCUUUUCAAGAAUGGCUUUGCUUACACGGUCCCCCAAGGAAAAGACCAGGGUCUUGGCAAUCUUCAGAACACUUGAUUUCAAGGUUUGGAUCAGCAUCGCUGCUUCCGCUUUCAUGCUGUCGCCAGUCAUUUACAUCAUCUCCUAUCUAAGGGCCCCCUACUGGAAAGAUGACGAUGAUGUCAAAGGCGAUAUCCAGUGGUACGCUUUCAAUACGUUCCGCAGCAUCGUCUCUCAAGGCAACCUCAUUCGCACUAAAGCUUGGCCCAAGAGAUUCGUUCUUUUUUCCUGGUUCCUCUUCUGCAUU